rnacentral:rRNA from 1 species
GACGAACGCUGGCGGCGUGCUUAACACAUGCAAGUCGAACGGAAAGGCCCUGCUUUUGUGGGGUGCUCGAGUGGCGAACGGGUGAGUAACACGUGAGUAACCUGCCCUUGACUUUGGGAUAACUUCAGGAAACUGGGGCUAAUACCGGAUAGGAGCUCCUGCUGCAUGGUGGGGGUUGGAAAGUUUCGGCGGUUGGGGAUGGACUCGCAGCUUAUCAGCUUGUUGGUGGGGUAGUGGCUUACCAAGGCUUUGACGGGUAGCCGGCCUGGGAGGGUGACCGGCCACAUUGGGACUGAGAUACGGACCAGACUCCAACGGGAGGCAGCAGUGGGGAAUAUUGCACAAUGGGCGGAAGCCUGAUGCAGCAACGCCGCGUGCGGGAUGACGGCCUUCGGGUUGUAAACAGAUUUCGCCUGUGACGAAGAGUGAGUGACGGUAAUGGGUAAAGAAGCACCGGCUAACUACGUG